AUGACGAUCGGCGUCUGCUACGGCGUGGUGGCCAACAACCUCCCGCCGGCGAACGACGUGGUGCAGCUCUACAAGUCCAAGGGCCUCACCGGCAUGCGCAUCUACUUCGCCGACGCCAAAGCCCUCUCCGCGCUCCGCGGCUCCGGCAUCGCCCUCAUCCUCGACGUCGGCGGCACCGACGUGCUGGCCAGCCUCGCCGCCAAUGCCUCCAACGCGGCGAACUGGGUCCGGGACAACGUGCGGCCCUACUACCCGGCCGUGAACAUCAAGUACAUCGCCGCCGGCAACGAGGUCCUGGGCGGCGACACGCGGAACAUCGUCCCGGCCAUGCGGAACCUCAACUCGGCCCUCGCCGGCGCCGGCCUCGGCCUCGGCGCCAUCGAGGUGUCCACCUCGAUCCGGUUCGACGCGGUGACCAACACCUUCCCGCCGUCCAACGGCGUGUUCGCGCAGGCCUACAUGACGGACGUGGCCCGGCUGCUGGCGAGCACCGGCGCGCCGCUGCUGACCAACGUGUAUCCCUACUUCGCCUACAAGGACAACCCGCGGGACAUCCAGCUGAACUACGCGACGUUCCGGCCGGGCACCACCGUGCGUGACCAGAACAACGGGCUGACCUACACGUGCCUGUUCGACGCCAUGGUGGACGCCGUGGUGGCGGCGCUGGAGCGGGCCGGGGCGCCCGGGGUGAGGGUGGUGGUGUCGGAGAGCGGGUGGCCGUCGGCGAGCGGGUUCGCGGCGACGGCGGACAACGCGAGGGCGUACAACCAGGGGCUGAUCGACCACGUUGGCGGGGGCACGCCCAAGAGGCCCGGCUUGCUGGAGACGUACAUCUUCGCCAUGUUCAACGAGAACUUCAAGACCGGGGAGCUCAUCGAGAAGCACUUCGGGCUGUUCAACCCGGACAAGUCGCCGGCGUACCCCAUCCGGUUCCAGUAG
rnacentral:rRNA from 1 species